rnacentral:rRNA from 1 species
UACGGAGGGUGCAAGCGUUAUCCGGAUUCACUGGGUUUAAAGGGUGCGUAGGCGGGCAUUUAAGUCAGUGGUGAAAUACCUGAGCUUAACUUGGGAACUGCCAUUGAUACUAUUUGUCUUGAAUGUCGUGGAGGUUAGCGGAAUAUGUCAUGUAGCGGUGAAAUGCUUAGAUAUGACAUAGAACACCAAUUGCGAAGGCAGCUGGCUACGCAUAUAUUGACACUGAGGCACGAAAGCGUGGGGAUCAAACAGG